rnacentral:rRNA from 1 species
GACGAACGCUGGCGGCGUGCUUAACACAUGCAAGUCGAACGGUAAGGCCCUUCGGGGUACACGAGUGGCGAACGGGUGAGUAACACGUGGGUGAUCUGCCCUGCACUUCGGGAUAAGACUGGGAAACUGGGUCUAAUACCGGAUAGGACCACUGCCUGCAUGGGUGGUGGUGGAAAGCUUUUGCGGUGUGGGAUGGGCCCGCGGCCUAUCAGCUUGUUGGUGGGGUGAUGGCCUACCAAGGCGACGACGGGUAGCCGGCCUGAGAGGGUGACCGGCCACACUGGGACUGAGAUACGGCCCAGACUCCUACGGGAGGCAGCAGUGGGGAAUAUUGCACAAUGGGCGCAAGCCUGAUGCAGCGACGCCGCGUGAAGGAUGACGGCCUUCGGGUUGUAAACCUCUUUCAGCACCGACGAAGCGCAAGUGACGGUAGGUGCAGAAGAAGGACCGGCCAACUACGUGCCAGCCGCCGCAGUAA